CGCGGGCCCGGCUCGCGCCGCUCCCUCAGGUGACGCAGCCCCCGCCCCGAGGUACCUGCGCGGGGCCGGCUCGCGCCGCUCCCUGAGGUGACGCAGCCCCCGCCCCGAGGUACCUGCGCGGGCCCGGCUCGCGCCGCUCCCUGAGGUGACGCAGCCCCCGCCCCGAGGUACCUGCGCGGGGCCGGCUCGCGCCGCUCCCUGAGGUGAC